ensembl:snRNA U6 U6 spliceosomal RNA
GUGUUCACCUCAGCAGCACAUAUGCUGAAGCUGGAAUGAUACAGAGAAGAUUAGCCUGCCCCCUGUGCAAGGAGGACAGGCAAAUUCAUAAAGAGUUUCAUAUUUUU